GUUCCUUUAUCGCAAUGGAUAGCGUGUUGGAUCUCUAAUCCAAAGGUCGUGGUCUUCAGUCCCACGUGAGAUG